AUCCAGCCGAUGAGUCCCAAAUAGGACGAAACGCGCGUCCUGGAU
rnacentral:hammerhead_ribozyme from 1 species